rnacentral:lncRNA from 1 species
CAGAGAUCUAAAGAACAAAGGGGAGUUCCACGGGCAGAGAUUGGGAAAUUCCAUUUCCAUUGGAGGCACAGCCCAGCCCAGCAUGGAGCAGAAGCAGGAGGAGGCGGGGUGUUGGGUGCUGGGGAGACAGAAGGGGCAGAGGAGGAAAGACCCGCAGCAGGCAGAUCACUGGGAAGGGUAGCGGCUUGAAGCCGAGUGGGGGCGGGGGGACAGAAGGACUCAGCCUCAGGUGGACCGCCUGCAAUCAGGAGGCCUGAGGUACACUAGGGCGGUGUCGGCCACUGGGAGGAAGGGCCAGUGGCCCCAGAGCAGGUGGAGACGCCCAGAGGGGCUGGAGCAGUGCUCACAAGGUUCGUCUCUGGCACCAGCACUGCUUCCUACUCAGAGUCCAGAGGACGUGGACACCGGGUCCUGCUGACCCUCGGCUCCUGUCCCCAGCCCACCCCCAACUCAUGAUCCUGCAGCUUUGGGCACCCGGAGCUCUAUGAACCCAACUACUACAGGACGCACACCAGCUUCCAGGUCACAUGACCCAAUUAGGGCCAAGGCCCUGCUGAACUUGCUUGUUUGCUCCUGAGUUUCUGUGUUUCGAAGACAACAAUUCUAACACAUUCCCUAAGGCUCAGGUCUCUCAGGCAUCAAUCUUGGAUCAUAAUACGAUUCCAACUCUGGUGCCCAGGGCCCGGCUGGGGCCCAGCGGGACGGCAGGAGGAAAGAGGGAGGCCCACGCUUCUCCUCCCAAGUGGAAAAAUCAAGACCCAAGAGACACCGAAAAAAGGGAAAAAAAAAAAGGCGAUUCAGAGUCAGACCCUGAAUAUUGAAGAAGUUUCUUUUUCUUAUGGUUUCCUUUCCACGAGUGCACAAAAGAGUGAGGACAUGUGGAUAAAACGCACACACAAACGACACAAGCAAGUGCUUCUCUAAAUCCACGAGAGACGGACACCCAAAGGGGCACAGGAGAUGAGGCAGCAGCAUGUUGGUGCACAAGAUGCGAUACACCAGUGAACAGCGCACAUGAGGAGACACAUUCGGCUUUGCCAGAAAUCAAAGGAAUGAAAAUCACAACAGGAUAUCAUUUGAGCCUGUCAAUCUAGCAAAGCAGAGUAUGUGAUCCUGCAUUUGGGUCCCGGAGGGUGGGGGGGGGGACACUACUCUAGAGGACAUUACAGAGAUAAUUGGUAAAUUUUGAAUAUGACUUAGAAAAUAGUAAUGAUUUUUUAAAAGACUUUAUUUAUUUAUUCAUGAGAGACACAGAGAGAGGCAGAGACACAGGCAGAGGGAAAAGCAGACUCCCUGUCGGGAGCCCGAUGCGAGACUCCAUCCCAGGACCCCAGGGUCAUGGCCUCAACCACUGAGCCACCCGGGAGUCCCUGAAAAUAGUAGUAUAAUAGCAGGGUUACAUUGCUGAUUUUUAAAAAAAGAGAUAUUUAUUUAUUUUAGAGAGGGAGAGUGUAUAGGUGAGAGGGGCAGAGGGAGAGGGAGAGAAUCUCAAGCGGACUCUGCCCUGAGUGCAGAGCCUGAGGAAGUGGAUCUCAGGACCCUGAGGCCAUGACUUGAGCUGAAAUCAAGAAUCAGUCCUUUAAUUGACUUGAGCUCCGCCCCCAGGCACCCCGAUUGCUGAUUUUUUAUGCUCGCGUGGUUACGCAGAGGUUGUUAGGAAAUACACUGACACACUUGGGGGGUAAACAGGUCACAACGCCAGCAACUUACUCUCAAAUUGUUCAGAAAAGGGAGGUAGGAGGGGGGCACAUGGGGGAAAUGUUAACCACGCCUGGCAGAGGAGGGGCUCUUGCACAUUCUUACAGUCUCUGUGAAUUUGAACUUGUAGGUAUGCCCUGCUUUUUGAAAGUCCGCAUCGCACCACUUGUACUUGUUUUUUGCUAACCAACAGAAAGCUGAGGAGGAUUUGCACUUUAACAAAAAAUGGGGAAAAGCAAAAAUAGCGUUUAGCAUUUGUUUUGCUGCCCACAGAGCUACUCUGGGGGCAUCCCCACCUGAGCAGUAAGAGGGGCCCCUCCGCCAUGCUCCUGCCCCAGACUCUACUCAUCAUCUCAGCAUCAGGCUGCUGGCUCUGACCUGUGUCUGCGAGCACCGAGGCUCCAUCCUGAUUUACUUUGAGCAUCGUUAGCAAGAUGUGUCCUAAGGUGUCAAAAAAACCUGAGAGAGGUUAUUUUUUGGGUCUGGGAAUGCUAAAAAAAGUUUCCGUAUAAAUUAAUGGUGGAGUGCCCGGAUGGCUCCAUCAGUCAAGCAUCUGACUCUUGAUUUUGGCUCAGGUCAUGGUCUCAGGGUCAUGAGAUUGGGCCCUGUGUUGGACUCUGCUCUGGGCAUAGAACCUGCUUAAGAUCCUCUCUCUCUCUCUCUGUCCCUCUGCCCCUCCCAUUCCAUCCUCUAAAAAUAAAGAAAUAAACAAAAGAAAAGAAUUAGUGGUAAUUACUUCUCUGCUUUACACCAUCGCAGCUUACCAAAGGUUGCAUAGCCUUGCCCCACUUUCAGAUAGCAGGGGAAGCCUGUAUCUCAGAAAGCUUUUUUAGGGGCACCUGGGUGGCUCACCUGGUUAAGCAUCUACCUUCGGCUCAGGUCAUGAUCCCAGGGUCCUGGGAUGGGGCCUUGCACAGAGCUCUCUGCUCGGAGGGGAGCCUGUGGAAGGGGAGGUGGGCGGGGGGUUGGGAUGACUGGGUGACGGGCACUGAGGGGGGCACUUGAUGGGAUGAGCACUGGGUGUUAUGCUAUAUGUUGGCAAAUCGAACUCCAAUAAAAAAAUAAUAUAAAAAUAAAUAAUAAAUAAAUAGAACAAGGGAAGAAAAUUUUCUUUUUCAUUAAAAAAAAAAAAAAAGAGCAGUGAGGGGCCAGAGGCUGACUUCAAAAUGUC